GACGAACGCUGGCGGCGUGCUUAACACAUGCAAGUCGAACGGAAAGGCCCUGCUUUUGUGGGGUGCUCGAGUGGCGAACGGGUGAGUAACACGUGAGUAACCUGCCCUUGACUUUGGGAUAACUUCAGGAAACUGGGGCUAAUACCGGAUAGGAGCUCCUGCUGCAUGGUGGGGGUUGGAAAGUUUCGGCGGUUGGGGAUGGACUCGCGGCUGAUCAGCUUGUUGGUGGGGUAGUGGCUUACCAAGGCUUUGACGGGUAGCCGGCCUGAGAGGGUGACCGGCCACAUUGGGACUGAGAUACGGCCCAGACUCCUACGGGAGGCAGCAGGGGGGAAUAUAGCACAAUGGGCGGAAGCCUGAUGCAGCAACGCCGCGGGCGGGAUGACGGCCUUCGGGUUGUAAACCGCUUUCGCCUGUGACGAAGCGUGAGUGACGGUAAUGGGUAAAGAAGCACCGGCUAACUACGU
rnacentral:rRNA from 1 species